CAGUGAUUCAAAAAACUCUAAAACACCUUGAAGAGUAGCCCAAACCUAACAGCAAAUGCCUUGGCUGAACCCAGGAUGUCAAGGCGACACCGGGAGAAAAGGCUGGAGAGGCAAAAGCCAGGGACGCGUUGCCACGUGCCAGCGAGUGAGAUAAUGGCGAAGGACAAAAUUGGUGUAUCGGGUCACGCACUUCAGAUUCGGCCACGGGACUUUGUGGGUAGGGUCGCCGCGGUCUGUC
rnacentral:misc_RNA from 1 species